GGACAGAAAUAGACAGGUAGGUUGGAUGGAUGGAGGGAGGGACGUAGGUAGGUUGGGUGGAUGGACGGACAGACGUAGGUAGGUUGGGUGGAUGGAUGGAGGUAUGUAUGCAUGCAUGGAUGGAUGGUUGGACAGAUAGACAGACAUGUAGGUUGGAUGGGUAGAUGCAUGCAUGCAUGCAUGGAUGGAUGGACAGAGGGAUGGAUGCAUGCAUGGAUGUAUGGUCAGAUGGACAGACAUGUAGGUUGGUUGGAUGGAUAGAUGGAUGGAUGGAUGGAUGGAUGGACAGAGGGAUGGAUGCAUGCAUGGAUGUAUGGUCAGAUGGACAGACAUGUAGGUUGGUUGGAUGGAUAGAUGGAUGGAUGGACAGAGGGAUGGAUGCAUGCAUGGAUGUAUGGAUGGAUGGUCAGAUGGACAGACAUGUAGGUUGGUUGAAUGGAUAGAUGGAUGGAUGGAUGGAUAGAUGGAUUUCUGGGUGGGUACACUGUAUGGCUGGUUGGGUAAAUGGAUGUAUGGACAGCUAGAUGGGUGGGCAGUUAAAAAAAAUGGAUGGAUGGGUUUUCACUUUCUGUAUAGCUCUAUUGCUAAUGUUCCCCCUGUCUGUAAAGUUACAGGAUCAUUAACAUUCCAACACAGUCUACUCAUUAAAGUCUAUUUAAAAAAAAAAAAAGUCUUGCUGCUAUUUGGCUGACAACUUUUACCUCGGUGUGAAUUGUUAUUUUUAAUUAACAGUACUUAUUUAAGAACGUUUGGCUACUGUACACACAUUUUACACUACCGACCCUGUCUCCACCUGUACCGAGCACAGUCCACUUAUGAUAGGAUCACUCGAGAUGGGUUCGGAUACCGGAUGUAAAUGGGGUCAGAGAGAAAAAGGCAGAGACAGUGCGAGAAAGCAAAAGCUGCGACUUGAUGAUUAGGUGAUGAUAACCGACCGGCCUGUUAUACAACCACCUACACACUAACGCGCAAUCAUCAUUGAAUCCUGUUCAUCUUGUACACACACACAAAAAAUUUAAUCAGGAUACGUCUGUACAAGAUAAACAAGAUUCACUGAGGUUUGCAUUUCGAUUAGAUCUCUUCAUCGUAACGCCUUAAAAAUAUCCACCUGUAACAUGUUGUACCAUUUCUUUCUCUUAUAUAUGUGUGAUGGCAUGAACUCCACGUUUCCGUCAUCGAAGCACAAAGAGGUCGAGGAUAGUAAGACACAAAGACCGCGAUGGAAUGAGACAAAUCCGUAAAACCUGGAUUUUAAGCUUCUUAAUCAACUCUCACUGUAAAAGUACUUUUAUUCUGCUGGUCAUGGCUUGUUCGAAGAUGAGGAAUUUCUAAACAUUAUCUCAGAUAUUCUCUCUAUCUCUUUCUCUCUCUCACACACACCUCAUGCACCCCUUGGUACUUGACGUCACUGCUGUGCAUUUUCAAAACACGCACUAUGUACAAUAACAAUAGUGCAGGAGAUGGCGAGCGGCUGGUUGGGUAAACAGUGGAUGUGGGCGAUGAUCUAAACCGUCAGUGAUACAGACACUCUGUUUGUUUUGAUAUUAUUUUAUAAAUCCGAUACUGCCAACUUUGAGCACGUACACUCCCUCGGCCAAUCGGAGCCAAGCGUGAGGACAAAAACAUUGUGACUGAUUAAUGGCAUGGUAAGACGAGCCGGGACUUACGACACCUUCGGUUCCUGAUGCUGUUUAAUCCAUCUGGGUGUUCAUCGUCAUUGUUGUUGUUGCUAUUAUGUGAGCACUCACCAGGACGCAUGCUUUCUAUGUGAAGACAAACCUACAUAAAUCAAGUCACACUUUUUUUCUAUUUAUCGUCACAUAAUUAUUAAUUCUUCUGGUCAAUAUGUAUGUGUGUGUGUGUGUGUGUGUGUGUGUGUGUGUAAGACAGAGAGAGAGAGAGAGAAUGAGAACAGACGGAUGGAUGGACAGGUUUGUGGAAUGGUGAAUGAUUGGAUGGAUGGUUAGUUGAGUUGGCUGACUGAAUGGAUGAGUAGGUGGUUAGUUGGGUGGAUGGUUGGAUAGAUGUUUAGUUUGGUGGAAGGGUGGUUAGUUGGCUGGCUGGCUGACUGACUGGAGGCGUAGGUGGUUGGUUGAGUGGGUGGCUAUAUAGAUGUGUGAGUGGAUGGUUAGUUGGGUGGAUGGGAGGUUGGUUGGCUGGCUGAGAGGAUGAGUGUGAUUAAUUGGGUGGUUGGUUGGUUGAGUGGAUGGUUAGUUGGGUGGAUGGGAGGUUGGUUGGCUGGCUGAGAGGAUGAGUGUGAUUAAUUGGGUGGUUGGUUGGUUGAGUGGAUGGUUAGUUGGGUGGAUGGGAGGUUGGUUGGCUGGCUGAGAGGAUGAGUGUGAUUAAUUGGUCCUUGGUUGGUUGAGUGGAUGGUUAGUUGGGUGGAUGGGAGGUUGGUUGGCUGGCUGAGAGGAUGACUGUGAUUAAUUGGGUGGUUGGUUGGCUGGCUGAGAGGAUGACUGUGAUUAAUUGGGUGGUUGGUUGGUUGAGUAGGUUGCUAUAUAGAUGUGAGUGGACGGUUAGAUGGAUGGUUGUAUGGACUGUUAGUUGAGUUGGUGGGUUUUUGUUGGUUGGUUGAGUGGGUGGAUAUAUAGACAGGCGAGUGGAUGGUUUGGUAGAUGGAUGUACAAUUGGAUUGGAUGGGCAGCUAUACAAGGACACAAGCUACACAUAUGGGAACUAGGUGACAGUAACCAGAGUUCAGGAUAGCCCGGAGACCCUGGAGCUGAGAGACGGCAACAUAAGAGUGUGUCCUUCACAGAAAAAGCAAUCCCAUAAUUCAUUUCACCCUUCGGGUUUUCAGUAGUAAGUAAAAAAAAGUGUGGAUAGAACUGCUGUACAGCCAACACUAUGUCACUGCGUGUUUAAUAUAAUACUGUGAUAUUGUAAACAAUGCUGAAAGAUUUAGCAAUCAUCAUUACAGGAAAAUUUUAUUUGCAACUGGAGGCCUAGGUUCAUAAUUCACUGAUAUGCAGACAGCCAGAGGGAGUCAUGCUGGACAGAGGCAUUACAGAUCAUAAUAUUAAUUAUACUGUGUGUGUGUGUGUAUAAUACUAGCCUGAAUAACCGAGCUAUAUGGUGACACGUACUGCCACAUCAACCAGCUAAUUCAGGAUGUUGAUUCAUUUCAUAUUUUUGUUGUUUGACAACAGCUUCCUGAUCAAAUGGAUGAUGAAAUGUGACAUCAUAGUUAAUGGAACAUAAUCUAAUGAGAGCUCUGGGAAACCAUAUUCAACGCUGGAUCAUGGAUCAAUGCAGCUGUCUGCACAACAAACAAUGCAGAUGCAAUAAUUACAGAUGACACAAGACCGGAGAGCAGAUUUAGACCGUCGAGAGCAAAGACGGCCCGGUUACGCUGUAAUGGAUUUUAGUUUACGGAUUGCUCGGUCGCUCUUUAUAGCACACCGAUCCUUAUAAUUGUUCAACUGAUCAAUUAUUAAUCCUUUUUAAAUUAAAUGUCAAAGUUAAUUAUUCAAGUUUGGUGUGUGUGUGUGUGUGUUCAUGAGUCGCUUGUGGAAAAGACACGUCAAAAGGUAGUGCUGCUUCUUCUUCUUCUUUCUUCCAUCCACACACAGACUUUCAAGGGAAGAAAAGUCUGGUCCUCAACACACACCAUGGUUAGCGUCUAGGGCUAAUUUAUAAUGACUUUUCGAAAUCAGAUAGAACCUUCGAAUACGAACAACACGAGAUGUAUUCAAGAAAUUAUACACGUUCCUUAGCGUGCACCGAUUAUGUUUUUUUCCCAAAUAUUACCUUUUUUGUGAAUGUAAAAAUAAACCAAUCAAAGCGCACGACAAACGGAGUUAUUGACUCCCAGAAGAAGGAACCGAUUCUGAACAGCUGUAACGAGUCGUUAUGAAUUCCAGUAAUAAUUCCGUUAGUAAUUCCUUACUUCCCGUACAAACCUAGUAGGCUUAUAUUCAGUACGACCACGAAUAAACGCCAUGUAUUCGUUUGCGUUGUCCUACCUUAUACGAUUACGAAUGAAAUACGACCUAUCGGAAAACAUUAAAAGAUCCCGCUACUUUGGCAACGGAGUCG
ensembl:lncRNA